rnacentral:rRNA from 1 species
GUCCGCACAGUAAACGAUGGAUACUCGCUGUCGGCGAUAUACAGUCGGUAGCCAAGCGAAAGCAUUAAGUAUCCCACCUGGGGAGUACGCCGGCAACGGUGAAACUCAAAGGAAUUGACGGGGGGCCCGCACAAGCGGAGGAACAUGUGGUUUAAUUCGAUGAUACGCGAGGAACCUUACACGGGCUUGAAUUGCUGAUAACGGCAUUUGGAGACAGAUGCUUCCCUUCGGGGUAUCAGUGAAGGUGCUGCAUGGUUGUCGU